rnacentral:rRNA from 1 species
ACGAGGAUUCCCUUAGUAACGGCGAGUGAACUGGGAAUAGCCCAGCCUUAGAAUCGAAUGGUUUUGCCGUUUGAAUUGUAGUCUGGAGAAGCGUCCUUAGCGGCGGACUGGGCCCAAGUCCCCUGGAAUGGGGCGCUUGAGAGGGUGAGAGCCCCGUUGGGCCCAGACCCUGUCGCACCACGAGGUGCUGUCUUAGAGUCGGGUUGUUUGGGAAUGCAGCCCUAAUUUGGUGGUGAAUUCCGUCCAAGGCUAAAUACAGGCGAGAGCCCGAUAGCGAACAAGUACCGCGAGGGAAAGAUGAAAAGAACUUUGAAAAAAGAGCCAAAGAGUGCUUGAAAUUGUCGAGAGGGAAGCGGAUGGAGACCGGCGAUAGGCCCAGGUUGGAUGUGGAACGGUGGUUAGCCGGUCCGUUGAUAGGCUCUGGGUGUGGAUCAGCGAGGAUUCAGGUGGCGGUUGAAGCUUUGGCAUUCGAUAUGCCAGGGGAAUGCCGUCUCCUGGAUUGUGGGAAGUAGUGCGCGCCCCGUGUGUGCUUUGGCACCGGCGUACUCAGGUCGUUGGCUUGUGGGCUCUCCAUUUGACCCGUCUUGAA